rnacentral:rRNA from 1 species
GGGAAAGGUGAAAAGUACCCCAAACAGGGGAGUGAAAUAGUACCUGAAACCGUACGCCUACAAGCGGUCGGAGCUCGCAAGAGUGACGGCGUGCCUUUUGCAUAAUGAGCCUACGAGUUACUCCUCACUGGCGAGGUUAAGCUCUUAAGUAGCGGAGCCGUAGCGAAAGCAAGUCCAAAUAGGGCGACUAGUCAGUGGGGGUAGACGCGAAACUUUGUGAUCUAUCCAUGGGCAGGUUGAAGGUGUGGUAACACACACUGGAGGACCGAACUCAUGAGCGUUGAAAAGCUCUGAGAUGACCUGUGGAUAGGGGUGAAAGGCCAAUCAAACUGAGAGAUAGCUCGUUCUCCCCGAAAUGUUUUUAGGAACAGCGUCGCAUAUAGAAGUUUAUUAGAGGUAGAGCUACUGAUUGGGCUAGGGGGCUUCACCGCCUACCAAACCCUGACAAACUCCGAAUGCUAAUAAAUAUCUGCGGCAGUGAGGCUGUGGGCGCUAAGGUCCAUGGCCGAGAGGGAAAUAACCCAGAUUAGCAACUAAGGUCCCUAAUACGUAGUUAAGUUGAUCAAACGAGGUGGGAUUUCUAUAACAGCCAGGAUGUUGGCUUGGAAGCAGCCACUCAUUUAAAGAGUGCGUAACAGCUCACUGGUCGAGAGAUCCUGCACGGAAAAUAAUCGGGCAUCAAACCAUGAACCGAAGUUCUAAGAUUGCUACUACGUAGUAUAUCGGUAGGGGAGCAUUGAAAUCAGCUGUGAAGGUGUGUGGCGAUGCAUGCUGGAGCGAUUUCAAAAGAAAAUGUAGGCAUAAGUAACGAUAAUUAAAGUGAAAAACUUUAACGCCGUAAACCCAAGGUUUCCUGAUCAAUGUUAAUCAGAUCAGGGUUAGUCGGGUCCUUAGGCAAACCCGAAAGGGGUAGCUGAUGGCAAGUUGGUUAAUAUUCCAACACCUGCUUUUACUUCGAUGGGGUGACGGGGUAGUGAAAGGUCCGCGUUCUUACGGAAUAGAACGUUAAAGGGUGUAGAUAUAGGUUGUGUAGGCAAAUCCGCACGACUUGUCGAACCUGAUAGUACAGCAAAGCUUCGGCAGCGCUGAUAGUGACCCUAAUCAAACCUCCGAGAAAAACCUCUAAGUUAUGGUAUAAGCAGCCCGUACCGCAAACCGACACAGGUGGGUGGGAUGAAUAUUCUAAGGCGCUCGGGUGAGCCGUGGAGAAGGAACUAGGCAAAUUAACGCUGUAACUUCGGGAUAAAGCGUACCAUCUUCAGAUGGUCUCAGUAAAAUGGUUCAACCAACUGUUUAACAAAAACACAGGGCCCUGCAAAAUCGAAAGAUGACGUAUAGAGCCUGAUACCUGCCCGGUGCUGGAAGGUUAAGGAAGGAUGUUCGGCGCAAGCCAAAGCUUCUGACUGAAGCCCCAGUAAACGGCGGCCGUAACUAUAACGGUCCUAAGGUAGCGAAAUUCCUUGUCGGGUAAGUUCCGACCUGCACGAAUGGUCUAAUGAGUUGAACACUGUCUCCUCCACGAGCCCGGUGAAAUUGUAGUAUCGGUGAAGAUGCCGGUUACCCGUCACGGGACGGAAAGACCCCAUGAACCUUCACUACAACUUUGCAUUGAUUUUGAAUUUUUGAUGUGUAGGAUAGUUGGGAGACUUUGAAGAGGUGUCGCUAGGCAUCUUGGAGUCGUCGUUGAAAUACCAACCUUUAAACAUUUAGAAUCUAAUCCCUAACGGGAAACAGUGCAUGGUGGGUAGUUUGACUGGGGUGGUCGCCUCCUAAAGUGUAACGGAGGCUUGCAAAGGUUCCCUCAGUACGGUUGGUAAUCGUACAUAGAGC